UGUCUUUCAUUUGUCGAGUAUCACCACAUUAUGAUCAGUUCACGCCAAUUCACUCAGUAUUUAUGGUAGUGCUCCUGUGAGAAUUCUGCUAAAUGUCACUCGUCUUGUGCAGCCUGAAGAGAAAUGGAUCCUGUGAUUACUAUAGUUCUGGUGGUGACAGCAGCAGUAGCAGCAGCAGUACAAGUUAGUGCCGUGGCCUGUAAUCUCUCRCACAAGAAUGGAACUCAUCAAUGCUAUGSGGCUCUGGGAGAAUCUUUGUCCWUACAGCUGGCUGCAGACAGCAGUAAUGAAGKAAUAACAUUGAAGAKAUGUGAUAAACGUAUUCUMKACUUCAAAACUGGAGAAGACUGGAGAURUAAAUUGCAUCAGGAUUAUGUGAAUCGCUCUGAGUUCUUUAACAAUGGAACAUUCASACUGGACAGAGUUAUAGAGGAAGACAGUGGAGAUUAUCAAUUGGAAACAUAUAAUUCAACAGGAAAAGUGUUGCGCAGAGUCAACAUGCUACUUGAGAUACAAGCCACGGUGUCAGAGCCAGUGUUGUCUCACCUCUGUCUGCCUCAUGGAGAGAUCGUGGUCACAUGCUCCUCAGAGGGAGAUGGUCUUCAGUACAGCUGGACCCUGAAUGGACAGAAUCUGACCAGGAGUGUAGCCUAUGUCCACUACCAGAGCAGUGUCAUCAUACUGAAGAGUGAUGUGACAGGAACCCUGACCUGUAUGGUUCAGKAUAAAGUUAGCAGCAGCAGCUCCACUAUUGAUCUCUCCUUGGCCUGCRCAGGUAAUCUCAGGACAGUUUCAUUCCCACCUUUUGAAUUAAGAGUACAACUCUGUUUCAUUUACAUGGUCAACAAGUGUUYUGUUCUGAUGUUUUCUUUCUAGUUGUCUCUUCCCAGUURCCUUCAGUAGCUGUGACAGUGUCUGUGGCUCUGACUGUUGGAACUCUCACACUACUUGCACUGUUUGUCGUUAUUAACCAUCUAUGCAAGAAACAAAGAUCCAGAUUUMAUACUUCAGAAAGCGUUGACGAGGUUGUUGUUUACGCUGAUGUGAAAAUAGGCCGGCAAAGAAAUCAGGCAAGGAAGCAGAGGCCCCCAGCCACAGAGACGGUGGAGUAUGGACAGAUCAAAAUGGCUGUAAACCCGGGUGUGGCAGGCUGCCCAUAGACUCAAGGCUAGACAUUUUACCACACGUAGCUUUGUAAAGCAGAUUUAAGACAAGGGUUGACUGAACAUUAUGUGGAUGCACUGAUUGAGUAGAUGAGACAGACCAUCAAACUUAAAGACUAGUGGCAAAUGAACACAACAAGAUGACAUCAUGCAUCAUGCAAGGAAUGCUAGGAAGAUGCACUGCAUGUCGUUUGUAGUUUGUUAACAUAAAUAACAAUCUCAUUUUCUAUCAUAUAUUGUACAAUGGUAUAAAAAGUGUUCAUUAUUUUGUAACUUUUCCUUAAAACCAUGAUAUCAAUGUAUCUCUAUUUCAAUGUUUGAAUGUAUCCUGACUAGAGUGCUGGCAAGUUAGAACGUGGCUCUAUUGCUGGAGAACACAUGUGAACAUUUCCUGUYAACUGAGCCGRGAUAUCAUARUGUAAAUGUAAUGCUUUCUUUCUUUUUAGGCAUCCAUGUAGUUUUACCAAUGUUUUUUUGAGUUCAAAUACUCAUUUAUAAUUGUUAUAUAAUAUAUUGUUAAUGAGGGGUUGUAAAUAAAUACAGGCAUUGCACAUCUUUUACAUUGUUUAAAGUAUUUAGGGCUAUUCAUGUAUGAUUUCUUACAUAUAUUGCUGCAGUGACAACAAAAACAUUGAUAUUGGUAAGAGAAUAAAAGAUAAGACACAACUCUAUGUAGUUGCAUAUUACAAAGGUACAAAGGAACUCAUCAUUUUAAGAUGUUCACUCCYCAAUGUACUGACUCUUGCAUGCUCUGUUAASGAGGUGUGAGGACCKCUGGUGAGACAUUAGAGAGCACCAUCAAUGUAAAAUAUUGGACAGCUGGAAUGUGUAACUUCAAGGUGAAACAAUAGUCUGUCCUUUUGAAUAUAAAAAGACCGCAAUGUCUCCCUCUGAAAAGAAACUCUACUUGUUUUUUCCUGAACGACACAAACAGACCAACAGACAGUCAAAGAGAGACCAUGAAAUAAAAAUGA